rnacentral:lncRNA from 13 species
AGAAAUAACAGAAAGGUGCUUUGAGGGGUUUAACUUCCUGUGUGGGCAGAUGGGGAAUGCAUGCAAUUGGCUGGAAUUAGAGCAUUGACGUCAACUUGCCCCCUUUUUUUGUAGCCACAGAUGGUUGAAGCUGGCCCUUUAUUUGAAGAAAUGACAAUAGAUGUUUGUGUGGAGGUUUAGUGUUUACGAAGCGAUCCACUAACACUAUCUCUUGGAAUCCUCACAACAGCAGUGGGGAGAAGGCCUUGCAGGCACAAUCCCUGUUACAGAUGUGGAAUCUGGGGCUCACAGUUUGGACAACUUGCUGGAGGUCAUCAGCUAGUCAGACAGAGCUGAGAUACAAGCGCAGGUCUCAGAACUCUACACCUGGGGUUUUCCUCUCUGCCUGGCACUUGGGGACAAGACAAGACGCAGACGCAUGCGGAGCAAUUAAAUAACUUGACCAGAGCAAGCCAUUUGUCAGUGUCAGAAGCAGUGGAGACUGCAGUGCUUCUCUAGGUAAGUCCCCGGGAAUGAAACUGCUAGGUGCGGGAGUUAGGUGUGUACUCAACUUUACGGGAUAAUGCCACAUUGCUUUUCAAAGAGGCUUUAUUAAUUUACACUCCCAGCAGCACUCGGUGAGAGCUUCUCGUGCCAACUGAGGGAGGAGAAAACGGUGUCUUUGUUGUUUGCAUUUGGCUUUCCUCGAUUUAUUAUGAGCUUGAGUAUCUCUUGUAAGGUCUUUGGCUGCUCACGUUUUCUUAUUCUGUUGCUUGACUGUUCGUAUUCGUUGCCCUUUCUCUUACCUUUUCCCUUGUUGAUUUUGGUGUUUAUCACACAUUCUGGUUACUAAGCCUCUGCGUUCUGCUUUUUUUGCAUAUCUAUCCUCUCAGUUAUCAAGAAGAACCGAUGGACUGAGCUAUAGCUCCAAUAAUAUAUGAGACACUGUUUUAACUUCAAAUUUACUUUUUAAUAAGAAGAUAUGACUGUAAGUCAUAUUCUAUUUCUGAGGAAAUCUGUACCAUCUUUCUGUGCUGUCUGAGCAAAUUAGAAUGACGUCAGUGUCAAACAUCAGAAGAGGUUAAUGACUCAUCAGGGUGAGCGUGACCAAACUCUGAAAAUCAUAGCGUGUAUCUUCAGGUGAACAGCUUUCUACAGCACUCACGGUUUCCAUUAACAAGAUUUUUUUGUUUUUGGUUUUGGUCACAGGAUUAUAAACUAUUUGUCAUGGGAACAAAUAGGUUGGUAUUACAGAAAAUCUUUUAGCCUGUUUUAGUAAAGAGACAUAGAAACUUUCCUCCGGCGAAAUAAUUCUUGCAUGUAUUUGAAACAACCUUCUCUUCUAGCUUCUAAACAGAGGGCAAUUGUUACUCCAUUGUUUUGUAUUCUCAAGGUUUCUGUUACUGAUGACCAGGCUUCUGCUUUCAAUUUAAUAUUUUUAGCUUUUAAUUUUUUUUU